AAAUGUACAGACAAACGAUAGAGAGACGAUGAGAUUAAAA
rnacentral:guide_RNA from 1 species